UACGUAGGGGGCAAGCGUUGUCCGGAAUCAUUGGGCGUAAAGAGCGUGUAGGCGGCCCGAUAAGUCCGCUGUGAAAGUCCAGGGCUCAACCCUGGGAUGCCGGUGGAUACUGUCGGGCUCGAGUCCGGAAGAGGAGUGUGGAAUUCCUGGUGUAGCGGUGAAAUGCGCAGAUAUCGGAAAGAACACCAACGGCGAAAGCACUCUGCUGGGCCGACACUGACACUGAGAGACGAAAGCUAGGGGAGCGAAUGGG
rnacentral:rRNA from 1 species